rnacentral:misc_RNA from 1 species
GGAAGCAAAAGUCGUAACAAGGUCUCCGUUGGUGAACCAGCGGAGGGAUCAUUACCGAGUUUACAACUCCCAAACCCCAUGUGAACCUUACCAAACGUUGCUUCGGCGGGAUGCCCCGGGCGCGGGCCGCAAGGCCUCAGCCCCGGAACCAGGCGCCCGCCGGAGGCCCAAACCAAACUCUUGUUUUUGUAGAAUCUUCUGAGUGGCCUUUUAGGCAAAAAAUGAAUCAAACUUUCAACAACGGAUCUCUUGGUUCUG